UACAGAGGUCUCAAGCGUUGUUCGGAUUCAUUGGGCGUAAAGGGUGCGUAGGCGGCGCGGUAAGUCGGGUGUGAAAUCUCGGGGCUUAACUCCGAAACUGCAUUCGAUACUGCCGUGCUUGAGGACUGGGAGAGGAGACUGGAAUUUACGGUGUAGCGGUGAAAUGCGUAGAUAUCGUAAGGAAGACCAGUGGCGAAGGCGGGUCUCUGGACAGUUCCUGACGCUGAGGCACGAAGCCAGGGGAGCAAACGGG
rnacentral:rRNA from 1 species